rnacentral:misc_RNA from 1 species
CACCCACCAUUGUUCUCUCUGGUUGGCUGUUGUGAGCGUAAUCAGACAUCAACGUGUCAUUAAGGGGAGGAAAUCAGUGGGGACAGCGCGAAAUUCGAGGUGUUUGUGUGAAGGCAGAGACUGUCUUAGUCCAAUGUAUAUUAUGGUCUGCUGGUGGUGUGUUUCANNNNNGACAGAUGGAAAUCUCCAUAAGAACCCGCCAUUUCUGGUCUGGGUUUUGAGAUUGUGCCUGGCUGGAGAAACGUCUCCAAAUUUGUCAUCUGAUAAACAGGGAG